AUCUGUGUCUGCUCUGAGAGCCCUCCCCUGCUGAGGGCCUGGGGUCCUGGAGGAAGCAGGGUGAUGACCACAGGGAAGAGCCAGGAAUGCCAAUCUGCCUUCAAAAUUCAGCACAGACUGAGGAUCUCAAGAUUUCAUGCCCAGGGGCUGAAAGAAAUGCAGUUUACCAUAGCACAGAGUUCAGGUGCCUUGUUCCAGACCUACUUAGCAUUGGGACUUCCCUCAGGUCCUUUAGAUCUGCAGUCCCCAACUCCCAGGCAGUGGACCGGGACCAGUCUGCAGCCCGCCAGGCACCAGGCCACACAGCAGGAGGCCAGCAGGAACAUGAGUUUUUGAGUGAACUUUUUUUAGAAAUACAGCAUUUGCUAGAAGAGGAUGUUCAUAUUCUCUUAGUAUAACAUCAAGAAGCUGAAAGAAAUCAGAGACCUCUGGGAAAGAAGUGGCUUCAGAAUGUGCCCUUCAGGCUGCCAUCGACCUGACACCUAGCAACGUGUGGAGUCAGAAUGGAGCUGGAUUCUGGAACUCAGGCUGUGGGGUCCUCCUGCCAGGGGUCCUGCGGCUUCCCCCACCUCCACCCCCCAACUGGUGGCAGAAAAGCCCUCCCAAGUUGCCCCGGACCUGAUUAACUCCAGUGUGCUGAGAUGGCAAGGGGUGGCCAGAGCCCCGAGUGUCCUUUGCUGUCCCCCAUUGUACUGCAGUUGCCGAAGCCCAGAGCACCGACAGGAUUGCAGACAGCGGACGCUGUCCUUUCCGAUUCUCCAAUAGGGGCUCUUAUUUGAUGCUGUGGAAGAGAGAGGCAAGCGAGCUUUAGCUCUUCUGGAAAUCUUGACUCUUCAAGAUUGCUUCAAGUUGCUUGGCUCUUCUCUUCCAUGGAGUUAGCUACAGGCAAAUUCACAAUUUCACUCAAUGCUUGCAGGUUUCUACAGAGGUGAAUAGCUCAAAGGUGGCCAGUCUUCUGGGCUGGAGGCUGACGAAGGGAAGAGAUGGAGAAGUGCAACAGUGCCCUAUCACCCAGGAGCAAAGACACAUGGCCUUAGGGCCAAUGCACUCAGCCUGGUUCUGCCACUUAUAACAGAGGGAUCUGCUGCUAAUUGUUAACUUGGCUAAGUCUCAAUUUGCUCAUCUAUAAAAAUAAUGCCUGCUUCUCAGUUUCCGUGAAGGUUUGCUAUAAAGCGCCCAGCAGGCAGCUGGACAUAGUUGGUGGUUGGUGCAAAGUAGCUGCUGCCAGUCUGCUUAGGUUUCAUUCUGUGUAAGUCUCAUCUGGAACUGAUGUGCUGUUGGAUCCAUUCAACUGCUCUGUGAGCACAAGUUUAGUCGUUUCCCAGGAGCAUUUUAAUGUUCUAAAUUAAACCACUUAGUGUGUGUGGGAGCUAC